CUCCCACUAAGAUUCCAUGAGUUUGAGAAUGGUAAGAGGAGAUGGCUCAAGGCACUUUAAAUCUCUCCCACUCACCUUUCCCUAAAUCCAACCAUGGAGCGGGAUGAGACAAAGCGAGACCUAACUACAACUACCAGCUUUAUGAGCUUCGAGUGAGAAACUUUACUAAAGUGAGUUGAAAUCAGAGAUGGUGAUACCUCCGGAUGUUCUUUUCUUGUAUAGUAUCGUUUUAUCUAUCCAAUGAAAUGCUCAAAAUCCUUAACCAUCUGGGAAAUGCAAAGCAAACAACUUUGAGAGUCCAUCGUUCACCUGUCAGAAUAACCAAGAUCAAACACACAAGUGACAGCUCAUGCUGGCGAGGAUGUGGAGCCGGGGAAACACUUCUCCACUGCUGGUGGGAGGACAAACUUGUACGGCCACUUUGGAAAUCAAUAUGGCAGUUUCUCAGAAAAUUCGGAAUCAACAUACCUCAAGACCUAGCCAUGCAACUCCUGGGCAUAUACCCAAAGGAGGCUCCAUCCUACCACAAGGACACUUGCUCAACUGUGUUCAUAGCAGCUUUAUUCAUAACAGAAACUGGAAAUGUCCCUCAACUGAAGAAUGGAUUUUUUUAAAUGUAGUACAUUUGAACAACGGAGUAUUACUCAGUUGUUAAAACAAAUGACAUCAUGAGUUUUGCUGGCAAAUGGAUGGAACUAUUAAAAAAAAAACAUCCUGAGUGAGUUAACACAGAAUCGGAAACACAAA